rnacentral:rRNA from 1 species
GAGUAACGCGUGAGGAACCUGCCUCAAAGAGGGGGACAACAGUUGGAAACGACUGCUAAUACCGCAUAAGCCCACGACCCGGCAUCGGGUAGAGGGAAAAGGAGCAAUCCGCUUUGAGAUGGCCUCGCGUCCGAUUAGCUAGUUGGUGAGGUAACGGCCCACCAAGGCGACGAUCGGUAGCCGGACUGAGAGGUUGAACGGCCACAUUGGGACUGAGACACGGCCCAGACUCCUACGGGAGGCAGCAGUGGGGAAUAUUGCACAAUGGGGGAAACCCUGAUGCAGCGACGCCGCGUGGAGGAAGAAGGUCUUCGGAUUGUAAACUCCUGUUGUUGAGGAAGAUAAUGACGGUACUCAACAAGGAAGUGACGGCUAACUACGUGCCAGCAGCCGCGGUAAAACGUAGGUCACAAGCGUUGUCCGGAAUUACUGGGUGUAAAGGGAGCGCAGGCGGGAAGACAAGUUGGAAGUGAAAUCCAUGGGCUCAACCCAUGAACUGCUUUCAAAACUGUUUUUCUUGAGUAGUGCAGAGGUAGGCGGAAUUCCCGGUGUAGCGGUGGAAUGCGUAGAUAUCGGGAGGAACACCAGUGGCGAAGGCGGCCUACUGGGCACCAACUGACGCUGAGGCUCGAAAGUGUGGGUAGCAAACAGGAUUAGAUACCCUGGUAGUCCACACUGUAAACGAUGAUUACUAGGUGUUGGAGGAUUGACCCCUUCAGUGCCGCAG